CUAGUUCAGCUCCUACCCCUGUGACAUACCAUUUGUUGCCUCGGCGGUGCCUGCUUCGGCAGCCCGCCAGAGGACCCAAACCCUUGAUUUUAUACAGUAUCUUCUGAGUAAAUGAUUAAAUAAAUCAAAACUUUCAACAACGGAUCUCUUGGUUCUGGCAUCGAUGAAGAACGGAUCGAAAUGCCAUAAAUAAUGUGAAUUGCAUAAUUCAAUGAAUCAUCAAAUCUUUGAACGCACAUUGCGCCCGCCAGUAUUCUGGCGGGCAUGCCUGUUCGAGCGUCAUUUCAACCCUCAAGCCCCCGGGCUUGGUGUUGGAGAUCGGCGUGCCCUCCGGGGCGCGCCGGCUCCCAAAUAUAGUGGCGGUCUCGCUGUAGCUUCCUCUGCGUAUUAGCACACCUCGCACUGGAAAACAGCGUGGCCACGCCGUUAAACCCCCCACUUCUGAAAGGUUGACCUCGGAUCAGGUAGGAAUACCCGCUGAACUUAAGCAUAUCAAUAAGCGGAGGAAGCGGAGGAA
rnacentral:rRNA from 1 species